rnacentral:rRNA from 1 species
AACGAACGCUGGCGGCAGGCUUAACACAUGCAAGUCGAACGCAUCGCAAGAUGAGUGGCAGACAGGUGAGUAACGCGUGGGAACAUACCCUUUUCUACGGAAUAGCUCUGGGAAACUGGAAUUAAUACCGUAUACGCCCUACGGGGGAAAGAUUUAUCGGGGAAGGAUUGGCCCGCGUUGGAUUAGCUAGUUGGUGGGGUAAAGGCCUACCAAGGCGACGAUCCAUAGCUGGUCUGAGAGGAUGAUCAGCCACAUUUGGACUGAGACACGGCCCAAACUCCUACGGGAGGCAGCAGUGGGGAAUAUUGGACAACGGGCGAAAGCCUGAUCCAGCCAUGCCGCGUGAGUGAUGAAGGCCUUAGGGUUGUAAAGCUCUUUCACCGAUGAAGAUAAUGACGGUAGUCGGAGAAGAAGCCCCGGCUAACUUCGUGCCAGCAGCCGCUGUAACAC